AUUGAACGCUGGCGGCAGGCCUAACACAUGCAAGUCGAGCGGAUGAAGGGAGCUUGCUCCUGGAUUCAGCGGCGGACGGGUGAGUAAUGCCUAGGAAUCUGCCUGGUAGUGGGGGAUAACGUCCGGAAACGGGCGCUAAUACCGCAUACGUCCUGAGGGAGAAAGUGGGGGAUCUUCGGACCUCACGCUAUCAGAUGAGCCUAGGUCGGAUUAGCUAGUUGGUGGGGUAAAGGCCUACCAAGGCGACGAUCCGUAACUGGUCUGAGAGGAUGAUCAGUCACACUGGAACUGAGACACGGUCCAGACUCCUACGGGAGGCAGCAGUGGGGAAUAUUGGACAAUGGGCGAAAGCCUGAUCCAGCCAUGCCGCGUGUGUGAAGAAGGGCUUCGGAUUGUAAAGCACUUUAAGUUGGGAGGAAGGGCAGUAAGUUAAUACCUUGCUGUUUUGACGUUACCAACAGAAUAAGCACCGGCUAACUGCGU
rnacentral:rRNA from 1 species